AAGAAGCCCCGGCUAACUUCGUGCCAGCAGCCGCGGUAAUACGAGGGGGGCAAGCGUUGUUCGGAAUUAUUGGGCGUAAAGGGUGCGUAGGCGGUUUGGUAAGUCUUUUGUGAAAUCUAUGGGCUCAACUCAUAGACUGCAAGGGAAACUGCCGGGCUUGAGUAUGGGAGAGGUGAGUGGAAUUCCUGGUGUAGCGGUGAAAUGCGUAGAUAUCAGGAGGAACACCUGUGGCGAAAGCGGCUCACUGGACCAUUACUGACGCUGAUGCACGAAAGCUAGAGGAGCAAACAGGAUUAGAUACCCUGGUAGUCCUAGCCCUAAACGAUGAUUGCUUGGUGUAGCAGGUACCCAAUCCUGCUGUGCCGUAGCUAACGCGUUAAGCAAUCCGCCUGGGGAGUACGGUCGCAAGGCUG
rnacentral:rRNA from 1 species